GGGCGCACGCGCGCUACACUGACGGAGCCAACGAGUAAUAACCUUGGCCGAGAGGUCUGGGAAAUCUUGUGAAACUCCGUCGUGCUGGGGAUAGAGCAUUGUAAUUAUUGCUCUUCAACGAGGAAUUCCUAGUAAGCGCAAGUCAUCAGCUUGCGUUGAUUACGUCCC
rnacentral:rRNA from 1 species